rnacentral:sRNA from 1 species
UCGCAGCGCCGCGACGUACUUACGGGUC